UCAUAGCAUGAAUGGGUAACCAUGUAUACCUAUUCUUCAAUAAAAUAAUAAACACAUUUAAUCAGCAAAGCUAGGGGUUUUUUUAAAACAAUCCAAAAAUGGUUGAUGCAGCUCGACAAAUGUUAGACGAAUUGAUGGGAAGGAAUAGAAAUCUGCACCCAUCUGAAGCGCCCAAGAAUGUGAGUUGGGAGGAUCCAGACCUUUGUCAGUACUUUCUGGUUCAAUUUUGUCCACAUGAAUUGUUUGUAAAUACAAGGGCUGAUCUUGGCCCUUGUGAUCGAAUUCACGAUGAAGAAGCAAAACGGCAAUAUGAAAAGGCUAAGCCCUCUGCCACAAAAAAGCAAUAUGAGGAUGAGUUUCUAUAUUUCUGUAACUCCAUGCUUAACGAUGUGGACCGAAAGAUUCUCAAAGGCAAACAACGUCUAGCUCUUAUUCAGAAAGACCAAACCACGUCAUCCCACUAUUCGCGUACGCGCGAACAAUUGAACAACCUUAAUGCCCGCAUUAAGAAACUACUGGCAGAAGCAGAGGAAGCUGGCACAAGAGGUGAUGUCGAUCAGGCCAAAGAUUUGAUGAUAUUAUGCGAGCAGCUUAAGGAUGAAAAGGACGUACUUAUGUCGCAGCAAGAAAAUACUGAAACAGAGGAGAAAACAGUGAAUUUGGAUACUGAUAUUGAUGCGACAUCAUCACCAACUUCUAACGCCAUCGACUCUGAUAGUAUUGAGAAAUCCAAUAAAGAGUCCCACAUCAAGAAUGAUGACGACGAGACUUCUUCAAAUGCGACGACACAAAAUAACAGAGCCUGGGUGGAAUUAGGCCACCUACCGGAAAAACAAAUGGAGGUAUGCGAAGUUUGUGGAGCUUUUCUAAUUGUAGGCGAUGCCCAGCAACGAAUUGAGGACCAUUUGAUGGGCAAACAACAUUUGGGAUAUUCGAAGUUACGAAAGGCAGUUGAAGAAAUACAUCUAAGAAGACAAAAGGAUAGGGUUAAUGAUGACGAUCGGAGAUUGCGAGAAGACCGCCCCCAGUCAUAUCGUGGUUUUGACAAAAGACGCGAGCGUGAUGUUGAUCGUGACCGCCGCAGUCGACAUGAAAGUGACCGACAUCGUCGUCACCACAAAUCUCACCGUCGUCGUUCUCAUUCACGUCAUCGUCAUGAUCACCAUGAUGAUCGUCGUUAUAGUCGCAGUCGGAGCCGUAGUCAUUACUAAGUUCGGGUGGACAAGAUUCAAACAUCUGAGGUACACUUCCCUUAUCUUUAUAACCAAAUAUAUAUCAAUAUGAUUUGAAAACAAGUCAUAAAAUCAAUCAAUCAAUAUAAGCAAACAAAAUAACAUUUAAUAAUCUAAUAUCCCAGAAAAGAAUAUCGAUCUUACACACAGCCGAAGUUUCAAUUAAUAUGGCUGGUCUAUGCAGAGCAUUAACAAUGGCUCCUUUUAUAAUUGGAACAGGAAAUCAGUUAUUACAGGUCCAAGAAGUUCCUAUGCAUUCUAAGUACAUACCUGCAUAUGUAUACAAACAGAUAAACCUGACAAUCAGCCUACAAAAUAUCCAGGUAUAUUUAAUUACUUUGUACUAAUGACUUGUUUGGUUUCUAAACAAAUGCGCGUUAAUUUCCAAGAUAAAGAAGAAGUCCAGGCCAGAGCUUUUGCAAACAUAGAACUCUGAUAUAGUGGUUGUUUGGUUUCUACAGUCUCAGCUCCGCUCAGCAGGUACUUGAUUGCUAAUGUUUGCUUUUGAAUAAUGUUUUUAUUUAAAGGUGUAAACUCUUCUCCAAAAAAUUCUAUGAAAUAUCCCUCCUCCUCGCCCUCCUACCAAUAAAUACAGUCCGUUUUUCCAUGAACCGAAGCACCCAGUUUCGAUUCGCCGUAAGGAAGCACCAUGGAAGGAAAGAUAGUAAGAAAUGGAGAGCGGCAAACGAAGUGAUCACACAAUUUUCCUGCAACCGAUAAACCGCUCCAAGACCCCAAAAAUUCACACACAAAAAUAAUGAAAACCAACUUGCAACUAUCGAUCGCUACUUACAGGUAACAUUGUACCACAAAUAAUAAUAUGAACAAGAAGAUCUUAUCCAAACAAACAAUAACGAUUUAAAUACCACCUGCAAGUGCAUUUCUGUAAGUGGAGAGGAUAAACUUAGCUUCCCAAGUCUUAAGGUGAUUGCUUACGUUUUCUAGUUUUUCCCCUCAAUUAUGCGUUUAAUUUGAGUAUAUAUUAUCGAUAUCAAAAUCUACAUGUAUGUCUAUCAAUUUAUUGCCGAAGCCUUCAUGAUUUAAAUAAUUUUUAAAAAAUAAAACGUCAUAAAUAAUGUAUUAAUUUCCACCAA